rnacentral:lncRNA from 1 species
UCUUAUCCUAUGCACCAUAGUGGUCUGGUCACAGUGGCCGUCUCCAAUGACCUCCAACGAUCUUUGCGGCUUUCCCUUUCCCUCCCUCCCCCCCCUCUCUCUACUUUGGUGUUUGGGAUUUUAUGCCAGAACCAUACUGAUAAACCGCCGUUAUGGUUUGGCAUGCCUUUAACCAUCCGAUUUGGAUCAAUUCAGCGAACCUUGGUUAUCAAUUAGAUUGCGCAAAGUUGAUAUUCCUCAUUCCUUUAGAUUAUGUGGACUGCUAGCGAAUUGUGGAAGCUCGACAGGCA